GCGGGCGUCGUAUAGUGGCUAUUAUGCGACCUUGCCAAGGUCGAGACGGCAGUUCAAUUCUGCUCGCCCGCUCCA
rnacentral:tRNA from 1 species